CUGGACCUGGCCGAGGCCGAGCGCGUGCGCCACCUGGGUUGGCGCGGGCCCAUCCUGCUGCUCGAAGGCGUGUUCGAGCCGCGCGACCUGGA
rnacentral:tRNA from 1 species